rnacentral:sRNA from 1 species
UUUUUUUCUUCUGGAUAUUAAGAUGUUCUGGCCACAAUCCGUAAUCCACCAGAUCCAAAACCACAUCAUGUAAUAUUAGUUUUGUUCCAAGCGUCACUCGAACCGACGACAUCUAAACGUCGCAUAAGGUAUUUACCAAUUGAGCUAAUGACACUUGGUAAUCAAUUACUAUUAAACA